CGCCUGCCGGCGACCGGCGCACGGGUGAGUAACACGUAUGCGACCUGCCCCCCGCAGGGGGAUAACCGGGAGAAAUCCCGACUAAUACCGCGUAACGCCGCGGACCUGCAUGGGUCUGCGGCCAAAGGAAGCGAUUCCGGCGGGGGAUGGGCAUGCGGCGCAUUAGCUAGUCGGCGGGGUAACGGCCCACCGAGGCGACGAUGCGUAGGGGUUCUGAGAGGAAGGUCCCCCACAUUGGAACUGAGACACGGUCCAAACUCCUACGGGAGGCAGCAG
rnacentral:rRNA from 1 species